rnacentral:misc_RNA from 1 species
GCAAACUUGGUCAUUUAGAGGAAGUAAAAGUCGUAACAAGGUUUCCGUAGGUGAACCUGCGGAAGGAUCAUUAUUGAAUAAACAUGGGAUGAGGCUGUUGCUGGCUUCUAGGGGUAUGUGCACGCCUUAUUCCAUUUUCAAAUUCAACCACCUGUGCACACUGUGUAGAUCUGAAAGAACUUUCGAGUAAAACUCGGUCAAAGGAAUUGUUGUGCAAUCUGGCCGGCUUUUCCUUAUUUUAAUUUCAGAUUUAUGUUUUUAUAUAUACUCCACAUAAAAGUUUGAGAUUGUAACAUUGAUAAAAAAUCAUUAUACAACUUUCAACAACGGAUCUCUUGGCUCUCGCAUCGAUGAAGAACGCAGC